ACUGAGACACGGUCCAAACUCCUACGGGAGGCAGCAGUGAGGAAUAUUGGUCAAUGGCCGGGAGGCUGAACCAGCCAAGUCGCGUGAGGGAAUAAGGCCCUACGGGUCGUAAACCUCUUUUGUCAGGGAGCAAGGCCGCCCACGUGUGGACGGAAGGAGAGUACCUGGAGAAAAAGCAUCGGCUAACUCCGUGCCAGCAGCCGCGGUAAUACGGAGGAUGCGAGCGUUAUCCGGAUUUAUUGGGUUUAAAGGGUGCGUAGGCGGCCUGCCAAGUCAGCAGUAAAAUUGCGGGGCUCAACCCCGUACAGCCGUUGAAACUGCCGGGCUCGAGUGGGCGAGAAGUAUGCGGAAUGCGUGGUGUAGCGGUGAAAUGCAUAGAUAUCACGCAGAACCCCGAUUGCGAAGGCAGCAUACCGGCGCCCUACUGACGCUGAGGCACGAAAGUGCGGGGAUCAAACAGGAUUAGAUACCCUGGUAGUCCGCACAGUAAACGAUGAAUGCUAGCUGUCCGGGGGGAUUGACCCCUGG
rnacentral:rRNA from 1 species